AACGAACGCUGGCGGCGGGGCUUAGGCAUGCAAGUCGAGCGAGAAAGCCGCAAGGCGAGUACAGCGGCGUAAGGGUGAGUAAUAGGUAGUCAACGUAUCCUGCAGACGCGGAUAAUUCCCCGAAAGGGGUUGCAACACGCGAUGAGACCACGGGCCCUUCGGGGUCGAGGGGUCAAAGAUAGGGGAUCCUUCGGGACCUCGUGCUGUGGGAGCGGACGACCUCCGAUUAGCUAGUUGG
rnacentral:rRNA from 1 species